GGUCGCGCAGGCGCAGAGGAGAAGGGACGAGGCGGAGGUAGCGGCGGGAGGCUGGCACUAGCCUGGGCCACGAUAGGUCGGACUACAGCUGGUAGCAACUGGGGGUCGGAAGUGGAGCCCAGACAACAGCGGAGGAGAAAUUUCCGGGGGCAGAAAAUGAAGGUGUCCGAGAGACUGACAAUUCUCUUCUGACUUCCUCAGUGCUCACUGGCUUUGGGUAUCUCCUGCAGCAAAGUGGCCGCCCCGCCCUCUCAUCCCCUGCGACCCAGCACCCUUCUUCCUUGCCUUGAGGGUGCGCCUUAGACAGCCCGAAGUAUUAAAUUUUCAUAUUGUGAUCCACCAUAGAUACGUAUGUUUUCUUCAUUUAACCUAACGUGAGUAUUUUUCUAUUUUGUUUCAUAGUCAUUGUUACAAAUGACGGAGUAUUCUGUUGAAUAAAUGCACUGUAAUUUAACCUUUCUCUAAUUUCCCCAACUUUAUUAUAUAUAAGUUACAAUGCUCAACCUGUGUAUUGUUUUUCUUAUUUCGAAUUUCCCCCUUUAGGAAAAUUUUUGGAAAGCGACAGUUCUGGGGUAAAGGGCAUAAGGCUUUUUAAAUAACUUUAAGAUUUUAAAGAUAUAUAGAGCCAAUUGCUUUCCGAAAGGUGGUACCAAUUUACAAUUGCACCGGCUGUGAAUGUAAUAGACCGUAGAAAUUGAUCAUACACAAUUGGAAAUGAGUAAGUGGAGAGCUCUAAAAAGUUUUAGUUGUGACCAAAUCUGUUGUGUUGAGUAUCCUAGUAUCAAUGCAACAUUACCAGGAUUGUUAGUGAACUAAACCUUUUAAAUAAUUUUAAUGUUUAUUUCUAGUUUUUCAUCUGUAGCAUUUUACAAUCAGAAUAUAAUUGCUUAUGGUAGAUAAUUUGGAAAACGCAGAAGUAUAUUAAGAACAAAGUCAACAAUAAUUCCACCACCCAGCAAUAAGUACUGAAUGGCUAAAAUAACUCUUUGGUAAAUUUAUUUUCAGUGUUUCCUGUCACCCCAAGCAUUUAUAGAUAUAUAUGUUUAAAAAGAGUCGUGUUAUAUAUAGGAGUUUAUGUUCCUCCCUUGGGUAUUUUGAGAAACUAUAAAAUUAAAUCAUUCUUAUGAUUAAGAAAAACAGUGUUACAGCAACAGCCUGUUUCAAUCCCACCUCCACUUACAUUUCCAUUCCAACACUUCAGUGCUGACUACCACCCACUGUUUGAAAAACUUUCUAGAAUUUACAUGUAUAUUUUAUAUACACUUUGAAUAUAUCUUCCCUUCCUUCUUUACCCCCAUACAUAUCAAAAUAUGCUUUAACUUUGACUAUCUUGUUAUUAACAAAAGACUUAAAUAAAUAUGUUAACUUAAAA